rnacentral:tRNA from 1 species
AAGGAAAUGUGCCUGAGAUAAGGACCACUUUGAUAGGGUGGAACACAGAGGUUAAAACCCCCUCAUUUCCC